CAAUGGCCAAGGCAACAUUAGUAGUGCGGGGACAGUCGUUGAGGUCAUAACAGUGGUCUUGAGUGGGGCCAAAUUUGUGACAGUAAGUACACUGAGGAUGCUGGCCUUUGAUGCAGGCACCACCCCAUCCACCACAUCGGCCUCUACGGCUGGAAGAUUGGGAGGCCAAGACAGAAGAGUCAACCACGGGAGGAGAAACAGUUGGAGAAGAUUGAACAUGGAGCAAACAAGCAAAGGCAUCCUCCAAGGUCAGAAUAGUGGUACU
rnacentral:lncRNA from 1 species